rnacentral:ribozyme from 1 species
UGGCCACAUUUUGGUCAUUGUGUUGGUUUUUAUCCUUGGAUUUAUCCUUAUUUUUGUCCUUGCUUUUGCAACAAGCUGAUCCCAUUUGUGAAAAUUUGGGAAAGGUUUGGGUUUGGUGUUAAAGAGGAGGA